CCGUUGAGAACUCUCUAGAAACCCUUCCCCUACCUUCCCUCUCUCCUCUGAAAACGCCGAAUGCUUCACCUUCUUCUUUGAACAAAAUUGCAGACUUCUUCCCCCAAAAUCAGAUAUGUGCGCCUCCAUUUUUGUAUAUCCUUUAAACGCUCAUAUCUCUCUCAUCUUCAUAAAGUUUCAGUCAAACAAGAGAGAUUCAGAACGAGCCAAAAGUUCUCUUCAGAAAAUCUGAUCUUUCCGUACCUGAAGAAUCACGUGAAGAUCCAGGCCCUCCAACGCUUGAAUUUCAAACGGGCAUUUUUUUACUCGAUUCAAGCCUCAAAUUCCUGCUCAAAACUCUACCUAAGAACCCUAAUUUUACACCUAUAAAUACCAGAUUUUGUGGUUAUUUUUAUUCAUUAGAACCGCACUCUAAGAGCUCGUCUUCGUUCAGUCUCUAUUGGUUUUGUUUCACCAUAACAGAGGCAUCGUCGUGCUCGUUUUGGAGUUUGACAGUCAUUCGAGGUUGCGGAGGUUGCGGAGUAGAGGCCGAAGAUAACAGACCUUGACGUGACCCCAGUUCCUGCACCACAAAAGUAGUAGAAAAUGGGAGGAGCUAAUUAUAGCGUAGCCGAGUUUUAGGAGGCAUAAUUUAUUUUCAGUAAACUUAGUUAAAUAUCCUAUAAGUGUAAAGUUGGAAUUGAGUUUUUCUUGAUUUUGGUUAUAUGAAAAUUCGGAUGUAAUUCAUAACUUUGCUCUGAAACUCGGCAGAUUCUAUAUAGAGUUCAUUAAUCACUAUGUCACUUCGAACCAGUCACUUUGUUACUCAUUUUUGGUCUGCGCACAAAAUUUAUCAUUGUCAUAAUGUCAAUUUCAGAAGGACUCGAUAUCUUGUCUAUAGGAGCUUUAAGUUUUUUUAGACAUCAUGCUCACAGGAUUUUUAGAAUAUUUAGUUGGAAAUAAAUCUUCUUUUAUCUAAGAAUGAAGCAUCUGUACGCACCUACAUACUUUUUGCUUUAGAGGUUCAGCUAUUAGGUAGAGGGUAUCUUAUAUUUUCUAAUUUAGAAUGAUGUAAAAGAAGUGGAAAGCGCAACCUAUGGAGUCUUAAUUCGAGACUCUUGCAAUGAAGUCUCAUAGAGCUCACUCAACACUACCCGAGCAUGGAGUCAUCGCAUCCCAUACCAUCCUCCUUAGAAUGCACCCGAUAGUAAGAGAACAAGCAAAACGCUUGGGGUCGCCUAUGGCGGCUUCGUCUUUAGCAUUUAUUUUGUUUGAAUCUUUUAGACUAACUAAUGAUUUCUAUGAUUUGAUUAUUUUAAUUUGGAAUUCUGUUAAUAUAUGUUUAGGUAACAAUUUUUGUUUAGA